rnacentral:misc_RNA from 1 species
UGGCAAGUCAGCCUUUUUAAGUGGAAUUUCUAAAUUAUAUGCGAUAUUGUCUUUGUGAAAUUUCAUACUCAGCAUAGCGUACAGGAACUUCAUAAUGUGAUUAUAUUGUACAUAUUCAUGUUAGCUCACCACGGAGGACUAGUGAGACAUGUCUGACAGCUCUAGAGACUCUCCAAACUUCAUGUUGUACAUAGUGCCAUGACUCUGGAGUUUUGAGCUUCUUUGCCUUGUCAAUGGCAUCAUCAAUUCCAGGAAAGGACUUGGAUCCAUAGUCAUUAUGCUUUGAGGGUGCGUAUAUCUGCAGAUCUUGGAAAUAUUAGCUUGGUCGUUCUGGUUAGUUGUAAUUGAGCCUGACUUUACUCGGCUUACUCCGUCAUAUAUAAAAUUUGAUGUUUUGAACAUUGGGAGUUCACCAAAAAAUUACAUUGUGUAUGCUAUAUAAAGAAAAGAAAAUGGAAAGCAUGGAAAAUAACUUGAUUAGUAAUUCAAGAGUCAUUUAAGUUGAAACGUACCAAAUGCUUAUUCCAUGGCCUCCCAGAGAGUCCAUCUUGGUCUGUAAAUGCUCGUUCUGCCAUCAUGAGUCUGUCAUUGAGUUCUCUCACUCUUAAAUGGUCUUUCUUCAAUAUUGAUCCCCAGCCUCUGAUUUCUUCUAUUGCCUGGAGAAUUAUACUUCUCUAAUUUGACUUUUUUAGAAAUCCUUUUUUAUGUCAAUUUUGAGAUACAACUUUUGACAUACCUUUCUCUCAUUAUAUAUUUUGGUGGCUGCUUUUGUUAGAUCGUCAAUGGACUUGAAUAAGGGAUCAAGGCGUAUGCCUUGAUCUGAGAUCUCAUCUUCCAAGUCCUUUGCACUUUUCUGUUGUAAACUUUUGACAUUAAACACAAAGUUGUGAACUGUAUUCAAUGUUUUUUUCUAACCAUUGCAACAUAGACAUACCUGGAGCUCAUAUGCAUAGGAGAGAUAAUUAAAAGGUAAAAACUCCUCAUCUGCUAACUGAAGAGCAACCAAACCCCAAACACUAGCCACUGUUUUUUCAAGGACAGAGUUAAGAGAGAGGAAAUAUGUGGCAAAAUUAUAAAUUGAACUAUUUGGGACAAUUGAAUUAACAUUUUAGAUUUGCUUCUGUGAUUCAAAACUUGGUGCAAAUACGAUAUGUGGUUUGUAAUUUGAGCUGCUUAAAAAUGCUUCAACUUCAAUAUCCUUUCUCUAUAUGUAUAAUUGCAUAUUCUGUAACCGACAAACUAUAAGUAAACAAUAUUUUGCACUGUUAUUUGGAAUAAAUUCUGAUAUUUGUAAUUGUAGCUGUUAGAUAGAAGUUUGAUGACAAACCUGCGAUGUGUCUUUGAAACAUGGGGUCACCAAACUUCUUCAUCCAGACGAAGUCAUCGUACAUUGAGUGGUAUACUGGGUACCCUAUGGUUGAUCAUUAGUAUUGGUUAGGCAUGAGAGAUGUCAAUCUGUGUCAUUCAUCAAUUUUCAAUGCUUAGCUAAAGCAACAUUGGAAAGCUUAUCCAGCAGGAAAUGACUUUAGGCUGAAGUUAAUCAAAGUGCCUUGCUAUAAUAAUGAGCGUCUAAAAAGAAUAUCAAAUAUCGUAGAUAUUUACUACUAGAAGGUGCUGAAGGAAAAUACGGGCCAUUUGGUAUGCCUACAUAGUUGAAGUUAACAAAGUUACCUCUUCCAUAAGAUAAAUCAGCUGAUGCAACACCGAUAUGUUGCACAAAAGCUGCAUAAUCUGACCCUCCACCACCCAAUCUCUCAAUCUUCAUUUGCAGGGUACAUAUUCAUGAGCGUCAGAUAGUUGACUUAUGAAAAAAAGCUUACAAGGUUCAUAUGAUGAGAAUCAUCUUCUAUCUGUAAUUUUUUGUUCUAUGGAAAAAUAAUUUGUUUUACUGGUAACUGGAAUGUAGUUUAUCUUGCGUAGAAUGUUCAUCAUGAUCAAAUUAUCAAAGAGCUAAUAUGAGAUUUGAUUAGUUAUGCUUACCACAGGAGAGCCGCUGGAACUAACCCAUGACUCAUAGAUGGUUCGUGAUGAGUUAUCAGGGUCUUGAACCUUCAAAAAGAUGAGCAGUUAAUCUUAUUGUGAUAAGUGCGAGGAAUUACUUGGUAAAAAUGUAAUCUAGAAUAUCAUAUAUAUUUUACCAUAUGUUCUUAUUUUAGUUGUUUCUGAAGUUGCUUUAUAUCUUACGAAAAAUGAUAUGUGAAAUAUAUUUCCUUUUUUUUUUUUAUCAUUGCUUGAUUGCUUUUGCCCGCUUGUGAUGACAUUUAGUUCUUAUUUGUAUACCUGUUUAGUAGCCUGUAUGAGUAGUUCAUCAAGUUGAGGAGUUGCAGAGCCAUGAAAUUCUGCUCCAGACACUGCAGAAUCAACAUUCAAGUAGGCUACGGCCCUUGAAGAUAGCAUCUCUCUGUUGUCUUCUACCCAUUCGGUUGAUCCUAUCAGGCCAUAUUCCUCUGCGUCCCAAUUGCACAGGACAAUUGUUCUUCGAGGUUUCCACCCUCUUUUCUGUAGCUUUUCAAAUCUUUGAGCAACCUCUAGCAGUGUUGCCGUGCCACUGUUGGGAUCAACAGCUCCAAAUGUCCAUGCAUCCCGAUGAUUACCCAGAAGGACAAAUCGAUCAGGUUCUUCUGCUCCUUCUAUUACACCAAUAACAUUAUGAAUUGUUGCAAUAGUUUGCUUCCCAGUAUAACUGAGGUUUAGAACCCCUGGCCCUGGUCCAACCCUAUAAGUUGGACCAUCUUUGCUUCCUUGCCAAUCCUCGUUAGCCACUUGUCCGCCCAUUGAUCUCAUGACUGUUUCACCGUCGGAUGCUGAUAUUGGCAAAGACGGUAUCAAUGGAACAAACCCUUCUUUUUCUACUUCCUCACCUGAUAGCCUCUCACAUCCUUGGAUACUUGCCCAUCCAGGGGUGGUGGGAUCACCAGCUCCAUCAUAAACAGACCCUACCUGGACCCCGCUUGGAGGCAUCCACUUGGCGUCCGGAAACCAUCCUCCACUUGCUCCACCGCCAUAGUCUUUCCUGUCUGUGUAGAUGACUGUCCCUAUAGCACCUGCCUCAAAUGCAUUCUGCACUAUGUCUCCUCUAUAUAUCUGUCCGUACCUUGCCAACACAACUGUUCCGGAUACGUUCACGCCUAUUUUUUUCAAUGUAGUGUAGUCCUCCACUCGUCCAUAAUUUACAUAAACCACAGGUCCACUUACAGUUCCUGACUUUGCAUAGGCAUGAAAGGUAGGUAGAACUUCAUUUGCCACAUCUGCAUAUGGAUCCCCAUCAUAUAUCUGCUGAUGGAGAUCGAAUAUGAUCGGUUGUUCUGGAGGUGGGUUUGUUAGAGUUAAGGAACGAGAAACAGGAUAUGUCAGGGACACAUCAUAGGAGGUUUUAUGAGAUUUAAUGUUGCAAGAAGCAAAAGUGGACAGAACAUAUUCUGCAUCCUCAGCGUUGGCUUCCGUUCCAGCAACAUGGGGCCGACGGGUGAGCAUGUAGAGGUGGUGUGAUACGGAUGCAUUGUCGGAUAGGGAUUUGGAUAUGUAGAGGGAGUGAUAGUAGGAUUUUGGAGGAGAAGAGAAGAGCAAGCUGAAAGAUAUCGCUAUGGAUACGAGGAUAGAGGCGGCUGUUUUGAACAUGGAGCUUAGUGUUUAGGAGAUGUUUCCUGAAUGUUGUUGAGGCUAUUUUGGAGGUGUGUUUUGAGGCUUUGAAUGAUUUAGCAGAGAGAGAAGGAGAGAGAUUAUUUGACCUAUUACAUCUACACAUAAUAAUCAGUUUCUUGAAUUGAUAAUGAUAUAAUAAAGAAACGUUAUAUUCUGCUUUGGAAUGACAUUAAACUUGUAUUUAUUUAUUUAUUUCAUCUGCUAUUUGGCAUUAAAUAGAGGCAAUAUAUGAUGAUGUGCUG